GGCGUUGUAGCAAAGUGGUUACUGCGAUUGACUAGAAUCGCCAUCCCGGCAUUGCUAUCAAUUCCCUUCGGGGGCGUAGGUUCGAAUCCGUAUGUUCGACGCUG